UACGGAGGGUGCAAGCGUUAUCCGGAUUCACUGGGUUUAAAGGGUGCGUAGGAGGGUUGGUAAGUCAGUGGUGAAAUCUCCGAGCUUAACUUGGAAACUGCCGUUGAUACUAUCAAUCUUGAAUAUCGUAGAGGUGAGCGGAAUAUGUCAUGUAGCGGUGAAAUGCUUAGAUAUGACAUAGAACACCAAUUGCGAAGGCAGCUCGCUACACGAAUAUUGACUCUGAGGCACGAAAGCGUGGGGAUCAAACAGG
rnacentral:rRNA from 1 species